rnacentral:rRNA from 1 species
GACGAACGCUGGCGGCGUGCUUAACACAUGCAAGUCGAACGGAAAGGCCCUGCUUUUGUGGGGUGCUCGAGUGGCGAACGGGUGAGUAACACGUGAGUAACCUGCCCUUGACUUUGGGAUAACUUCAGGAAACUGGGGCUAAUACCGGAUAGGAGCUCCUGCUGCAUGGUGGGGGUUGGAAAGUUUCGGCGGUUGGGGAUGGACUCGCGGCUUAUCAGCUUGUUGGUGGGGUAGUGGCUUACCAAGGCUUUGACGGGUAGCCGGCCUGAGAGGGUGACCGGGCACAUUGGGACUGAGAUACGGCCCAGACUCCUACGGGAGGCAGCAGUGGGGAAUAUUGCACAAUGGGCGGAAGCCUGAUGCAGCAACGCCGCGUGCGGGAUGACGGCCUUCGGGUUGUAAACCGCUUUCGCCUGUGACGAAGCGUGAGUGACGGUAAUGGGUAAAGAAGCACCGGCUAACUAAGUGC